rnacentral:misc_RNA from 1 species
UUUCCGUAGGUGAACCUGCGGAAGGAUCAUUAUUGAAUGAAACACUUCUGGCUUUAUGCUGUUGUGCUGGCCCUUUGGGCAAUGUGCACACGGCUCUGACACUUGUUUCUUCUGUUCCACCUGUGCACUGCCUGUAGACACGCUGUGUCUAUGAUAUUUGUUAACACACAACAAUGUUAGUUGGCAUGUUAUAUAUAAUAAUAAAAUAUACAACUUUCAACAACGGAUCUCUUGGCUCUC